AGAGUUUGAUCCUGGCUCAGGAUGAACGCUGGCGGCGUGCUUAACACAUGCAAGUCGAGCGAAGCAGUUAAGAAGAUUCUUCGGAUGAUUCUUAACUGACUGAGCGGCGGACGGGUGAGUAACGCGUGGGUGACCUGCCCCAUACCGGGGGAUAACAGCUGGAAACGGCUGCUAAUACCGCAUAAGCGCACAGAGCUGCAUGGCUCGGUGUGAAAAACUCCGGUGGUAUGGGAUGGGCCCGCGUCUGAUUAGGCAGUUGGCGGGGUAACGGCCCACCAAACCGACGAUCAGUAGCCGGCCUGAGAGGGCGACCGGCCACAUUGGGACUGAGACACGGCCCAAACUCCUACGGGAGGCAGCAGUGGGGAAUAUUGCACAAUGGGGGAAACCCUGAUGCAGCGACGCCGCGUGAGCGAAGAAGUAUUUCGGUAUGUAAAGCUCUAUCAGCAGGGAAGAUAAUGACGGUACCUGACUAAGAAGCUCCGGCUAACUACGUGCCAGCAGCCGCGGUAAUACGUAGGGGGCUAGCGUUAUCCGGAAUUACUGGGCGUAAAGGGUGCGUAGGUGGUUUCUUAAGUCAGAGGUGAAAGGCUACGGCUCAACCGUAGUAAGCCUUUGAAACUGGGAAACUAGAGUGUCGGAGAGGCGAGUGGAAUUCCUAGUGUAGCGGUGAAAUGCGUAGAUAUUAGGAGGAACACCAGUGGCGAAGGCGGCUUGCUGGACGAUGACUGACGUUGAGGCUCGAAAGCGUGGGGAGCAAACAGGAUUAGAUACCCUGGUAGUCCACACCGUAAACGAUGAUUACUAGGUGUUGGAGGAUUGACCCCUUCAGUGCCGCAGUUAACACAAUAAGUAAUCCACCUGGGGAGUACGACCGCAAGGUUGAAACUCAAAGGAAUUGACGGGGGCCCGCACAAGCAGUGGAGUAUGUGGUUUAAUUCGACGCAACGCGAAGAACCUUACUAAGUCUUGACAUCCCUUGACAGGCAUAGAAAUAUGUUUUCUCUUCGGAGCAAGGAGACAGGUGGUGCAUGGUUGUCGUCAGCUCGUGUCGUGAGAUGUUGGGUUAAGUCCCGCAACGAGCGCAACCCUUAUGGUCAGUUACUACGCAAGAGGACUCUGGCCAGACUGCCGUUGACAAAACGGAGGAAGGUGGGGAUGACGUCAAAUCAUCAUGCCCUUUAUGACUUGGGCUACACACGUACUACAAUGGCGUUAAACAAAGAGAAGCAAGACCGCGAGGUGGAGCAAAACUCAGAAACAACGUCCCAGUUCGGACUGCAGGCUGCAACUCGCCUGCACGAAGUCGGAAUUGCUAGUAAUCGUGGAUCAGCAUGCCACGGUGAAUACGUUCCCGGGCCUUGCACUCACCGCCCGUCA
rnacentral:rRNA from 1 species